rnacentral:lncRNA from 1 species
UGCAUUUGAUGGAACAGCUCAUCAGGUCCUCUACUGUUGGAUCAGCCUUGACCUUCAAGUCUUCAGGAAGAGGAUAGCAUUAGUUAAAUUUAAAGAAGUGUCCAGCAGGACAGUUGAGAUGAAGAUGUGGCUGGCUGAAGGAGGUCAUCACAACUUAUGUCACCACUGCACAGUUGAGAAAGUCUGGCUCUCUCCUGGCUCCUGAUUUCAACCAUCGCUACAGAGAAUGAGUUUGUCUCAGGGCUGUGCUGACUCUCUGGGGGAGAUGGCUUGGUGUCUAUCCCCAAGCAGAGGACACUGUGACCGGAUUGCCUCUCCAAGGAACUUAACUUCAAAAAGAAAUUGGAGAUUUGCCAUGUCACGUGGAUGUAGCAUGAAUAAAUAAAUGGACCCAGAGAAUGAUAUUAGGGUUCAAACUUCAAGCUCAAUAUCAGAAAAGCAAAGCAGCUGGCCACUAGCUCUCACCUCAGGCUGAAUGGGCUGGUCCUGUCUCCAUGAGCUCUCACUGAGCCUCAGACUGUAACCUUUCUUCAGUGUUGCUGGAGAAUGAAUGCCUCUUUGACACCUUGC